rnacentral:rRNA from 1 species
UGGCGGCAUGCCUUACACAUGCAAGUCGAACGGUAACAGGUCUUCGGAUGCUGACGAGUGGCGAACGGGUGAGUAAUACAUCGGAACGUGCCCGAUCGUGGGGGAUAACGGAGCGAAAGCUUUGCUAAUACCGCAUACGAUCUACGGAUGAAAGCGGGGGAUCUUCGGACCUCGCGCGGACGGAGCGGCCGAUGGCAGAUUAGGUAGUUGGUGGGAUAAAAGCUUACCAAGCCGACGAUCUGUAGCUGGUCUGAGAGGAUGAUCAGCCACACUGGGACUGAGACACGGNCCAGACUCCUACGGGAGGCAGCAGUGGGGAAUUUUGGACAAUGGGGGGAACCCUGAUCCAGCCAUGCCGNGUGCAGGAUGAAGGCCUCGGGCUUGUAAACUGC